rnacentral:lncRNA from 1 species
CCUGUGAUGGGGUACUGCCAAGAACUCUGGAGAUCCCGCCACAUUAUGGCUUUGGCCAUACCGAGAGCUCUCCACUGAGAACGUCAGGCAGAAGAGACCUGGGGCUGGUUGCCUGAGUACUGCCAGGGGAAACGAGAAGAGGAGCAAGCAGUACAGUUGUCCUUAGAUAUGUUUCGAAGUGAUUGAUGCUACUUGUAAUAGAGUGCGGAAAAGUUCAAGGCGAAGAAACCAUAGCAGUAAAGAUAAUCAGGGAGCAAUGGAAACUUCAUCACCUCACUUCAGCGAUUGCUAGAGCAACAGUCAGAGGCUCAACAAGAGGCUGGAAGAACAUUGUGGUCUCCACCUCGCAGAAUAGCAGAUAUCUGGAGAAGACGCCAGGACAGCAGAAGAUGCUUUUUUUCUCAAGUGCGCGUGGAACAUUCCUUACAACAUUAGACACAAAAGGAAGCUUAGUUCAUCUACAAGGAUUAAAAAUACGACGUAUGUUCUAUGACCAUGAUUAAACGAGUUUGAAAAAAGAAUAUUAGAGCCUUCUGCAUUAAGAGGAGAAACGGGAUCUGCUCGGUGCUCCCACGUAGGGAUGCUUGGGACACGAUUUAGGAAAGAGCCUGAAUUCUUGGGGUCUAGGUUUCAUUAUCUGGGGCCUACUGCCUGCUGCGCUGUCUGCCACUGAUGCGUUUCCAAGAGAUCUCGGCUCCGUCGUUGGCAGAACAGACAAAAUAUCCAGCCCAGCUAGAUCCAGUUCUGGAGGAUUCUGAACAACUUCCAAUGACCAGAUCUGUUUGUAGGACUGGAGGAAUAUGGUGGAGAACAUAAUCAGAAUAGAGAGGAAAAUAAGGUGAAGG